UUAACGCGAAGAACCUUACCAGGUCUUGACAUCCUCUGACACUCCUAGAGAUAGGAUUUUCCCCUUCGGGGGACAGAGUGACAGGUGGUGCAUGGUUGUCGUCAGCUCGUGUCGUGAGAUGUUGGGUUAAGUCCCGCAACGAGCGCAACCCUUGAUCUUAGUUGCCAGCAUUCAGUUGGGCACUCUAAGGUGACUGCCGGUGACAAACCGGAGGAAGGUGGGGAUGACGUCAAAUCAUCAUGCCCCUUAUGACCUGGGCUACACACGUAAUACAAUGGAUGGUACAAAGGGCUGCAAAACCGCAAGGUUUAGCCAAUCCCAUAAAACCAUUUUCAGUUCGGAUUGUAGGAUGCAACUCGCCUACAGAAGCCGGAAUCGAUAGUAAUCGCGGAUCAGCAUGUAAGCGGGAAACGAGCCU
rnacentral:rRNA from 2 species